rnacentral:lncRNA from 1 species
GCGAGCACGCAGGCGGGUGGGCGGGGUUACCUGCUUGAAGGUGUGCCGGGCGGGGUGCGGGGAUGAUGGCGGGCGGUGCUGAUUGGCUCGGGCUGAGGCUGCGGCAGAGCCCGGCGCUUCCCGCCGGCACCCGCGCAUCCCGGAUCCCGGCACCGCUUCAUCCCCGCAGCCGGAACAACGGGCGGCUUGUCCUCGGAACAAAGGCGGCCCUGAGGCAACGCGGCUGCCGAGGCCGGGGCAGCUCCCAGGAGCUGCGGCUCCGUGUUCAUGGCAGCCCUGACUGACGAAAAUACUCAUUCCUUAAUGCUCCUGGCCGGCAAAGCUCGGGCUGCUUGUAAUCAGAGUACAAUGGCAUCUGCUGAUGGUACAAAAUGUAUAAAUGGAAAGUUAGGUUUUUAUCACCGAAUUCUGACUGCAGUGAUGUUCCCGGCUUGAGUCGAUGAACAAAAAGCUCCCAGCAUCAAAAGCUUAUUUGUUGUGUAUGUGCCUUCGUGUAAGAAGGAAACAAAAACAAGACUCGAUGGUGGCGUUUUCAGGGUUUGGGUAUGAGGGAACAAUACUUCAUUGCAACUAUCAUGAAGCUUCUCUAUUAAAGGUUUAAGCAGUGCUUACACACCUUACAGUUUUCAUCCAUACUGCUGUUCUAGUUAAAAGAGUUUAAUUUUUAUUUGCUUUAUCCCCUCUUUCAAGCCUACCCCAGUAGAUGCUCUUUGUAGAUGUUCACAUGUUUACAUGAGAAGUUGCUGGAAGACCGCAUGCUGAAGAUGGGUGCAUUGAAAAGUCCAUCCUUUUUCAUUAGGCUCUUGAGCUGGGUGACUUAUUCCUGCCAGGGGUUCCUUUUUUGCAAAAGCUCUUGCAUCAGAUUUGUAAUGAAACUAGCAAAAAGACCAGCACGACUCAGACUUUAAUUGGCCUGACUGGAUACUUCUUCCCUAGGCCCAUUUCUGAUACAUUUAAUCAAAGAAUGCUUAAAUUUGACCCCAAAUCUUGACUUACUUUGGAAGUAUUACCAAGAAAUGAACAGGGUCAUGUUUGAUACUUUUUUUUUCCAUUUGGAAAUGUAGUUCUAAAACAAGUUCAGAUAAAGUGCCUGUGUGGUAGGGAGAGCUUCAAUCCCGUCAGUAAGUUUCUCUGGACAACUUCUGGUGCUGCCUCCUGCUGUGAUUGUGGCUUGCAAAGGAAAUCAAGGCAGUGGUGGUCAGAGCCUGUGGCAGUGCCACAACAGACCUCCCUCUCUGGGGGUGGGUGCAGAAAUCUGGGGCAGCCAUGCUUUCUAAUCAACAU